AUUCAUUAAUAUGCUGAAGAUGGCAUUCUAAAAAAAUCCAAUUUGAUAUUUAACAGAAGGAUUUCCCUCCUCCUUAAUUGGUCUGGAGAAAAUGACCUUUCUAUUUAUUGCAGUCCAAUUCUCUGUAAAGCCACUGGGGCAGCGCAGAGGUUAUUCUUCCCAACUUGCACAGAUGUGUCUUCUGAUUUUUGGAGGGUGAUGAAGUGAUGAAGCAAGAGGGCUCAUAUAGGGACCCUUGGAUUCACCACAGGAAUGCACUGAUUCAAUGUCAACAUGCUGAAGAAAGAGAACCCAGGUUGUGCUUUUCAAGCCGUCUCUAAGGCAUUAAAGUGUGAAGGAUGUGGAGAAUGAACUGGGGGGAAAAUCGUCACUUUAAACAUGAUUGCAUUGGAAGUGAAAGGUUUUCUGAGGGGCAGUGAAGCCUAUACAAGGAGCAAGGAAGGUUGUAAUCGAAGGAAUAGUUCACACAUUGACAUUCACUUUUUAAAAUCUAACCCACUUAGAAAAAUGGGUUUAUACGAGCUUUGCACAAUGUUCCAAAAUAUUAAGAUCCAUAUGAUAGAUGUGUGGAAUAGACUUUCAAUUCAAUCUCAUUUGGCUCUUAAAUCAUACCAUAUCUAUGGUGCAGACUGGACGUCAACGAAAUCUUGUCUCAUCGGAUCUCAUGUGGCUUAUAAUGUCAUGAUGUUAAAUGUUAUGUAUGAUUUGGGAGGUCCAGGAGAGGUGAAGAUUAUAAGUGAAUAAUGACUUCAGUUUCAGCCUGUUCCUCACACAGACCUAACACCU